rnacentral:rRNA from 1 species
CAGCCCCUCGAGUGGUGGGGAUGAUUAUUUGGCCUAAAGCGUCCGUAGCCGGCCGUGUAAGUCUCCCGUUAAAUCCAGCGUCUCAAGCGUUGGACUGCGGGAGAUACUGCUCGGCUAGAGAGUGGGAGAGGUGUGCGGUAUUCUGGGGGUAGGGGCGAAAUCCUUUGAUCCCCGGAGGACCACCAGUGGCGAAGGCUGCACACUAGAACACGUCUGACGGUCAGGGACGAAAGCUGGGGUAGCGAACCGGAUUAGAGACCCGAGUAGUC